GUCCGAGCGUCAUUUCACCAAUCGAGCCUCGCUCGGCCUUGGGCGCCGCGGUCCCCCGCGCGCCCCAAUGUCUCCGGCUGGGCCGUCCGUCUCGAAGCGCUGUGGCGACUCAAUCCGCUUGCGAGUUCGGGGGGCUUGUCGCCGUUAAACCCACUCACCAGGUUGACCUCGGAUCAGGUAGGGAUACCCGCUGAACUUAA
rnacentral:misc_RNA from 1 species